UUCUCCCACCAGACAGGUCUGAAGACAAG
rnacentral:piRNA from 1 species